AGGUAGCGAAAUUCCUUGUCGGGUAAGUUCCGACCCGCACGAAAGGCGUAAUGAUCUGGGCACUGUCUCAACAAUAGACUCGGUGAAAUUGUAGUACCGGUAAAGAUGCCGGUUACCCGCAGCAGGACGGAAAGACCCCGUGGAGCUUUACUGUAGCUUGAUAUUGAUUUUCGGCAUUGCAUGUACAGGAUAGGUGGGAGACGAAGAAUUCAGCACGCCAGUGUUGAAGGAGUCACCGUUGGGAUACCACCCUUGUAAUGUUGGAAAUCUAACCUAGUACCGUGAUCCGGUACAGGGACAGUGUCAGGUGGGCAGUUUGACUGGGGCGGUCGCCUCCUAAAGAGUAACGGAGGCGCCCAAAGGUUCCCUCAGCGCGGACGGAAAUCGCGCGAAGAGUGCAAAGGCAGAAGGGAGCUUGACUGCGAGACCAACAAGUCGAGCAGGGACGAAAGUCGGGCUUAGUGAUCCGGUGGUUCCGAGUGGAAGGGCCAUCGCUCAACGGAUAAAAGCUACCCCGGGGAUAACAGGCUUAUACCCCCCAAGAGUUCACAUCGACGGGGGUGUUUGGCACCUCGAUGUCGGCUCGUCUCAUCCUGGGGCUGGAGUAGGUCCCAAGGGUUGGGCUGUUCGCCCAUUAAAGAGGUACGCGAGCUGGGUUCAGAACGUCGUGAGACAGUUCGGUCCCUAUCCGCUGUGGGCGUUGGAAAUUUGAGAGGAGCUAUCCUUAGUACGAGAGGACCGGGAUGGACAUACCUCUGGUGUACCGGUUGUUCUGCCAAGGGCAUAGCCGGGUAGCUACGUAUGGAAGGGAUAAGCGCUGAAAGCAUCUAAGUGCGAAGCCUCCCUCAAGAUAAGAUUUCCUCCGAAAGGUAAGACCCGUGAGAGACUAUCACGUUGAUAGGUCAGAGGUGUAAGUACGGUAACGUAUUCAGCUGACUGAUACUAAUAGGUCGAACACUUGACCAA
rnacentral:rRNA from 1 species